UACCUGGUUGAUCCUGCCAGUAGUCAUAUGCUUGUCUCAAAGAUUAAGCCAUGCAAGUCUAAGUACGAGCUCUCGUACAGUGAAACUGCGAAUGGCUCAUUAAAUCAGUUAUGGUUCAUUUGAUCGUACAGUUUACUUGGAUAACUGUGGUAAUUCUAGAGCUAAUACAUGCGAGAAGCGCCGACCUCGCGGGAGGCGUGCAUUUAUCAGACCAAAAACCGGCCGCGUCUUCGGGCGCGUUCGCCUUGGUGACUCUGGAUAACUUUGCGGAUCGCACGGUCUAGCACCGGCGACGGAUCAUUCAAGUGUCUGCCCUAUCAACUUUCGUCGGUACGGUAUUUGCCUACCGAGGUUCUUACGGGUGACGGGGAAUCAGGGUUCGAUUCCGGAGAGGGAGCCUGAGAAACGGCUACCACAUCCAAGGAAGGCAGCAGGCGCGCAAAUUACCCAUUCCCGACGCGGGGAGGUAGUGACGAAAAAUAACAAUGCAGGACUCGUUCGAGGCCCUGUAAUUGGAAUGAGUACACUUUAAAAGCUUUAACGAGUAUCCAUUGGAGGGCAAGUCUGGUGCCAGCAGCCGCGGUAAUUCCAGCUCCAAAAGUAUAUAUUUAAGUUGUUGCGGUUAAAAAGCUCGUAGUUGGAUUUUGGGCGCAGGCGGCCGGUCCGUCGCAAGGCGGGUACUGGACGUCCUGGCCUUCCCUCCGGUUCUCCGCCGGUGCUCUUGACUGAGUGU
rnacentral:ncRNA from 1 species